rnacentral:rRNA from 1 species
CUGGCUGUAAACGGUGCACGUUUGCUGUAAAAGGAAUCGACCCCUUUUGUGGCGAAGCUAACGCGAUAAACGUGCCGCCUGGGGAGCACGGUCGCAAGAUUAAAACUCAAAGAAAUUGACGGGGGCCUGCACAAGCGGUGGAGUAUGUGGCUUAAUUCGAUGCAACGCGAAGAACCUUACCUGGCCUUGACAUGCACGUAGUAGGAGCCUGAAAGGGUAACGACCCCGCAAGGGGAGCGUGCACAGGUGCUGCAUGGCUGUCGUCAGCUCGUGUCGUGAGAUGUUGGGUUAAGUCCCGCAACGAGCGCAACCCUUGUGUCCUGUUGCCACUCCAACGAGAGUUGGAAGCACUCUGGACAGACUGCCUCGCUUAAACGAGGAGGAAGGUGGGGAUGACGUCAAGUCAGGAUGGCCCUUACGGCCAGGGCUGCACACGUACUACAAUGCCCGGCACAAAGGGAAGCAAGACCGCAAGGUGGAGCAAAUCCCAAAAAACCGGGCUCAGUUCAGAUUGUCGGCUGCAACUCGCCGACAUGAAGCUGGAAUCGCUAGUAAUGGCGCAUCAGCUACGGCGCCGUGAAUACGUUCCCAGGCCCUUGCACUUCACCGCCUCGUCGUUUCUAAUACCAA